UACGUAGGGGGCUAGCGUUGUCCGGAAUCAUUGGGCGUAAAGAGCGUGUAGGCGGUCCGGUAAGUCCGCUGUGAAAACUCGGGGCUUAACCCCGAGCCUGCAGUGGAUACGGGCAGACUAGAGGUAGGUAGGGGAGAAUGGAAUUCCCGGUGUAGCGGUGAAAUGCGCAGAUAUCGGGAGGAACACCGGUGGCGAAGGCGGUUCUCUGGGCCUUACCUGACGCUGAGGAGCGAAAGCGUGGGGAGCGAACAGG
rnacentral:rRNA from 1 species